rnacentral:lncRNA from 1 species
AAUUAAUAUUUAGACAUAAACUAAAUAUAGAUUAAAUAUAUCUUGUACUUGCUAAAUUUUAGAUUUUAGAUGUGCAUACAUGCAUAUUAGUUCAUAUCAUAAAUCCUGUAUGGUGAUUUAGAUUUGAUCUAUGCAUGCAUUAUAGAUUAAAUUAUUUAAUCUAUAUAUGUUCCAUUACAAAAAUUUUUAUAAAUGCAUGCAAAUCUUCCACCAUAUUUUUCUUCAAAUGGUAUCAGAGCC